GACGAACGCUGGCGGCGUGCCUAACACAUGCAAGUGGAGCGACGAACCAGACUUCGGCCUGGGGCCAAGCCGCGAACGGGUGAGUAACACGUGGGUAACCUGCCCCGAUGAUCGGGACAACCCGGGGAAACCCGGGCUAAUACCGAAUGUGGUCGCGGUCCGUGAGGACCGUGACGAAAGGAAGCUUCGGCCUCCGCAUCGGGAUGGGCCCGCGGCCCAUUAGCUUGUUGGUGGGGUAAUGGCCUACCAAGGCAUCGAUGGGUAGCUGGUCUGAGAGGACGAUCAGCCACACUGGGACUGAGACACGGCCCAGACUCCUACGGGAGGCAGCAGUGGGGAAUCUUGCGCAAUGCGCGAAAGCGUGACGCAGCAACGCCGCGUGGGGGAAGAAGGCUUUCGGGUCGUAAACCCCUUUCAGUUGGGACGAAGCUUCGCCGGUGAAUAGCCGGCCGGAGUGACGGUACCUUCACAAGAAGCCCCGGCUAACUACGUGCCAGCCGCCGCAGUAA
rnacentral:rRNA from 1 species